rnacentral:rRNA from 1 species
GCCUCUUGUUUCCAUAAGAGGUCCAGCCUGCCCAGUGAACUUAUUCAACGGCCGCGGUAUUCUAACCGUGCAAAGGUAGCGUAAUCACUUGUCUUCUAAAUAAAGACCGGUAUGAAAGGCAUCACGAAGACUAAGCUGUCUCCUUUCUCUAAUCAGUGAACCUAAUCUCCCCGUGAAGAAGCGGGGAUUCAACUAUAAGACGAGAAGACCCUAUGGAGCUUAAAACAUCACAUCAUCUACCACCGCCUUUAACCACCCCGGUCUACCCCCAGACGGCACACUGAUUGUAUGUUUUUGGUUGGGGCGACCGCGGAGAAAAACCCACCCUCCACAAUGAACUAGGACUUCCCCCUAAACAACAAGUUACAACUUUAUGUAUCAACAAAUUGACAUUCAUUGACCCAACAAAUUGAUUAACGAACCAAGUUACCCUAGGGAUAACAGCACAAUCCACUUCAAGAGCUCCUAUCGACAAGUGGGCUUAUGACCUCGAUGUUGGAUCGGGAUAUCCUAGUGGUGCAGCCGCUACUAAAGGUUCGUUUGUUCAACGAUUAAAACC